AGUGACUUGCCCAAGGUCACCCAGCGGGCAAGUGGCAGAGCUGGGAUUCGAACUCACGACCUCUGACUCCACAGCCCGGGCUCUUUCCACCGAGCCACGCCACCCCGACAUCAGGAAGUGUGAGCCUCCCCCUGGGACGGACCUGAUGACCCUGUAAGCCCGUCAAACGGCAGGGCCUGUCUCUAUCUGCGGCCGACCUGUUCAUCCCAAGCGCUGAGUCCAGGUGCUCUGCACAUCGCAGGCGCUCAAUCAGUGCUAUGGGCUGAACGAAUGAAUGAAUGACCCUGCAUCUCCCCCCGCGCUCAGAACAGGGCUGUGCUUCACAAACACCAAGAUGAGGGGGAGGAUUAAAGGGAGAGGAGGGAGGCGUCGCCACCAUUGCUUGGGGGGGGGGGGGAAAUAGGGAGUUCCCCCAACGCCCCAGGCCCGCAGGGCAACGUUGGGCGGGGACCGUUGCGGGGCGCGGGGGCGCGCGCGCGCCAUGGGGGGGGGGGAGGCAAGGUCUCGCGCGCGGCCCCCCCCCCGGGCCGUUGGCUUCUCCUCCUCCCCCUCCCCCUCCUCCUCCUCCUCACGGCGACUUUCCCGCCCCUCUUGAGGGGGGGAGGGAGAGGAGGCUGAGGGAACGGGCGCGCGCGCGCCGGAGGGAGCGGCGAGCCCGGCCGGGGGCGCGCGCCGGCGGGGGAGGCGGGCGGAGGGCCAGCGCGCGCGCGCGCGCGUUCUCUGGGGGGGGGGGGGGCGCGCGCGCGCGCUUCUGUGCGCGAGGGAGAGCGGGAGGCUUGCGUGCGCGCGAAGGUGUGCGCGAGGCCCAGGGGCUCCCCGGCCCACCCCGCCGGGGGACCAGACGGGACCGGAUUCCCACCUGCGGCCACGGGAGGGAGGAGCCCUCGGAGCCAGGUGCUGGAGUCUGCUGGUCCUGGGAGGGGGCAGUCUCUGGUUCUGAGGAAAGAGACGAGAAGGGGAGCAGCAGAUGCGGUCUCACAUAAAGCAGCACUCAGCCGCCUGCCAUGUUUCCCUUCCUGCCUCUGCCCCCUGGGGAGGAGGAGCUGAGUAUCUAUCUAGUCCCUGGGUUGUGGGGCCCCAGCUGGGCCCGUACCCAACCUAGAAUCUAGAGAACAGCCUUUUCUUCACCUUCCUCUUCCGGGACCCCUGUUGGAUACUCCCUCCCUCCUCCCAGGGGGUUUCAGGGUUUGGGGUCACAGCAUCAAGAGAGCAUACUUUUCCUCCCUCCGGACUCAGCUCCAACUGGAGAUCAAGGCCUUCCACCCUCUGACAGAGCUGCUGCGGAGAGAGGCGCUUAGGCUGGACAUCAUCUCUCUUCCAAUCCUGGAAGCAUCAGGACCGAAGCUCCCUGUUUCCGGGGGCGCUGUGAGCAGCAGCCAGCUUCUAAACAUUCUUCCCAUCCCCCUCUCCCCAUUCACAUCCACCUGGGGUUGACUGCUGGGGUAAGUCCACUAGAUUCAUUCAUCAAAGCUCUUCCCCUCCCCCAAGAGCUGAGGGACAAGCACACAUGGAAAUGGGGGUGGGGAGAGGAGGUGGAGAGAGUGACCCUGGACCUAGGGAAGCAGGAGACUAUUCUAUGACCUUCCCCUGGAGAGCGGGCAGUGAGUCUUCACUGAAGGAGAAAGGGCGGGGAGAGAACUUUUACAUAGUCAGGACACACAAAUAACCCACAGAUGAGAAGGGGGAGAGAGAGAGAGAGAGCAAACACAUCAAGUAAGGGUUUGUGUAAGUUAGGGUUGGCCUGCUGAUAAUCAUAUUUUGGAAAGAGUUCUGCCGCUCACUUUGGGGGAGGGAGAGGAUGUCAUCGCGAGGAUUCUAAAAGUGAAGUUGUUUAGUCAGUCGGUCAGUCAGUCGUAUUUAUUCAGCGCUUACUGUGGGCAGAUCACUGUACUGAGCGCUUAGGAGAGUACAGUACAAUAGCAGAUACAUUCCUUGCCCUCAGUGAGCUUAGAGUUAGAGUGGGAGGUAGACAUUAAUAUAAAUAAAU
rnacentral:lncRNA from 1 species